CGGUAUGUAGCUCAAUGUAGAGCGUAGUCUUGAUAAGACUAAAGUUAUUGGUUCAAAUCCAAUCUUACUGA
rnacentral:tRNA from 1 species